rnacentral:rRNA from 1 species
UACGUAGGCAGCAAGCGUUGUUCGGAAUUACUGGGCGUAAAGAGUGUGUAGGCGGUGCUCCAAGUCUGGUGUGAAAUCUCCCGGCUUAACUGGGAGGGUGCAUUAGAAACUGGAAUGUAGAGGAUGGGAGAGGUAAGCGGAAUUCCUGGUGUAGCGGUGAAAUGCGUAGAUAUCAGGAGGAACACCUGUGGUGUAGACAGCUUACUGGACCAUUUCUGACGCUGAGACACGAAAGCGUGGGUAGCAAACAGG